UCGGUCGUGCCUCGGUACGUACUGGUAUUUUGGUUUCUCCCUUCUGACGAACCUUGAUGUCAUUAAUUUGGUGUCUUGGGAAAUCAGGACUGUUACUUUGAAAAAAUUAGAGUGUUUAAAGCAGGCUCACGCUUGAAUACAUUAGCAUGGAAUAAUGAAAUAGGACGUUUGAUUCUAUUUUGUUGGGUUUCUAGGAUUGACGUAAUGAUUAAUAGGGAUAGUUGGGGGCAUUAGUAUUCAAUUGUCAGAGGUGAAAUUCUUGGAUUUAUUGAAGACUAAACUACUGCGAAAGCAUUUGCCAAGGAUGUUUUCAUUAAUCAAGAACGAAAGUUAGGGGAUCGAAGACGAUCAGAUACCGUCGUAGUCUUAACCAUAAACUAUGCCGACUAGGGAUCGGAUGAUGUUAAUUUUUUAAUGACUCAUUCGGCGCCUUACG
rnacentral:rRNA from 1 species